CCUGUGUUCAGCAAGAAGCCUAUUAGAGAAGUAUUUGAAAAAGAUAGAAAGGCACAGGAAGCAAAUAGAAGACAUCCAUAAUUCUACCAAUUCGACACAACCUCCUGUUGACACUUGGAUGUUCAGCUGAUUCACAAUAUCAAAGAGAAUUCCUACUGGAAAAAGGCCACCGAAAAUAAAUUCAGUUAUAUUGGGAUGGAAAUCUCACCAUCUCUAAAAAAAAAUACACUGUUGUUUUCCAUUUUCUUUGUAAACAUACUGAAAAUAAGUGGUGGGCAGAUUAUAAAGGAUCUAACAUGGCAUACUAAGAAAUUUGUACUUUAUUAUGUAUUGUAUGAAAUAAAUCACU
rnacentral:lncRNA from 10 species